AGGGAGGGGCACAGGGGGGCUGAGGAGUGCUGGGUUGGGCUUCCAGCUCCCUGCAAUGCGGAACAGUACUGGAGUUCGUGGAGCUGGAAGACCGCCAACCGACUCUGGGCCCCGGGCAGGAAACGUAAGUGCCAGGAAGUUAGCAGGGUGGUUCUUUGGCUGGCGCCUGAACCUCGCCAGUCUUCGUCGCCCCUCCCCUGUCAACGCCUACCCCGCUUCGACCCGAGGGUGCGCUGUCCCUCUGGUCACUGUGAUCACCGUCCAUGGCCGCCUGCGGAUACCCACGCCGCGCUCAGAAGAGGGCUCUGAGGCCAUGCCUGACUGUGGGGGCGGUGGCCGGGCUUCCGGGACCCCAGAGGGAGUCGUCGCGCGCUAGGUGGAGGGGACCCCUCUGGAAUCCGGCGGGCUCCGGGCGCAGAUGCAGGAGCGAGUGGGGAGAGCCGCGUUCCUGGCAUGUUUGCCUCGAGUUAGUCACGAAGGAAUCGAAGAGAGCCUCAGUCUUCGAGGCUUUUCCCUUCCUGUGAGCCCCUUUGAGGCCAGCACAUUGAUUUUUUUUUUCUUUCGCAGAACAAUUUCGGACCUCCUGGGGUCUAUGCUAGGUAUAAGGUGUAUCUGUGUCCUCCAUGAAGUAGCAAAGAUAGACAUGUAAACAAAUUUCGACACUGUGAUGACUGCCACAAAAAGCAGCAUUAUGGGGUUGAAUGUAAAAGGAUAACACUAGCGGCGGCGGGGGCCAGAGGAUGAAGGAAGGCUUCCUAAGGUAGGCGCUGGCGAAACUGAAGUUGGAGAGAGCAAGUGGCAUUUGCUGAAGUGCAUUUCCGGUAGAAAGAACUCCAGUGGUCCCUCACCUGACUGAGUGGCGCAGUCAGAGAUAAAUGGAACAGAGUCUACAAAUAAACAUUUUAUAAAGAUAGUCCUUCAAUACAUAUUCUACAGCCCAGUUAAAAUGUGAGAGGCCAUGAUCUACAGGCAGCCAUUUAUAAAGGUGGAUUGGGACCGGGCACGGUGGCUCACGUCUGUAAUCCCGGCAAUCUAGGAGGCCAAAGCGGGAGGAUCGCUUGAGCCCAGGAGUUCGAGACCAACCUGGCCAACAUGGUGAGACCCCAUCUCUACAAAAAUAUAUAUAUAUCCAGGCAUAGUGGUGUGCACCUGUGGUCCUGUGGUCCCAGCUACUCAGGAAGCUGAGGCAGUCGAGGCUGCAGUGAGCCACGUUCUGGCCACUACACUCCAGCCUGGGCAUCAAAGUGACAAGACCAAAAAAAAAAAAAAAUGUGGAUUGGAAGGAGGCAAGAAAGAAGGCAGGAAAAGGAUGGAAUUUAAGUCCCAAGGACACAAUCUUACUCACAAUUAUAUCUCCAACAUUUGGCAUAGUGCCUAAUACGUAAGUAUUUUAUGAAUUAAUUAAAUGAAAAGAACACAAGCCUAAAUUAAGGCAAUGGCAAUGGAGAAGAAGAAACCAACUUGAGAAAUAUUUAAAGGUCAUUGUCAAUGGAACUUAAUGACUUUAAUGGUUAAUUUUAUGUAUCAACUUGGCUAGGCGAUGGUACCCAUGUUACUCAGUUUUUGGUCAAACACUAGUCUAGUUGUUGCUAUGAAUUGUAUUUGUUAAAUGUGAUUAACAUUUAAAUCAGCAGACUUUGAUUAAAGUAGAUUAUCCUCUAUAAUGAGGGUGGGCCGCAUCCAGUCAGUUCAAAUUAAAACGAGACCCUUAAGGAGCAAUUCAGCCUCCAGACUGCAGCAUCAAAUCUCCCUGGGUCUCCAGGCUGUUUGUCUGCCCUGCAGAUUUCAGACUUGCCAGCUCCCAGAAUAAUGUGAGCCAAUUCCUUAAAUCUCUUUCUGCAUAUACACA